UUUCCGUAGGUGAACCUGCGGAAGGAUCAUUAUUGUAAAAGCGAGGUGCGGGGGCUGUCGAUGACCAGAACGGUGUUGAGCGCGCGCAUGCCCCCAGACACAUUGAGCUAGCCCGUAUGUGUACCACCGCGUAGGUCCUCCUCUCGCUUCUUCGGAUGGGGGAUUACGAUUUACCAAUAUCUUUUUCUACAAUGUAUCAUUUGUUUUUUGUUUUUGUGAACACGGAAUCAAAACAACUUUCAACAACUGAUAUCUUGAGUCUCGCAUCGACUAAGAAAG
rnacentral:misc_RNA from 1 species